rnacentral:rRNA from 1 species
UACAGAGGUCCCAAGCGUUGUUCGGAUUCACUGGGCGUAAAGGGUGCGUAGGUGGCGGGGUAAGUUUGAUGUGAAAUCUCCGAGCUCAACUCGGAAAUGGCAUUGAAUAUUACUCUGCUCGAGGUUUGGAGGGGGGACUGGAAUUCUCGGUGUAGCAGUGAAAUGCGUAGAUAUCGAGAGGAACACCAGUGGCGAAGGCGAGUCCCUGGACAACACCUGACACUGAGGCACGAAAGCUAGGGGAGCAAACAGG